UAUCCGAGAACAUGAUUGUAAUUUUAUUAUUUUUUGAGAUGUAUUAUUAUACCCUCAAAUGAUAAAGUGUUAGACGUGUCGCACGAAGCAAUCCGGCCUUAAUUUUUUUACAGCUAAAUUGUCAUCUAAAAAAAUGACAUUUGAACAUAAAGUUGCUAUGCUUGAUAACUAAAGCUGCGAUCCUCAUGCCACUAAACUCAUCAAGGGACACCACACGCGCACGCUCAAGACUAUCACCUUCGUUUUUCGUCCAUCCAUCUUCAAAACAGAUACUAAUAACGAAAAAAAAUAACUAAAGACUCGGUGCGCUUUUUCGCGUCAAACAACGUGCGGUUUACCAAGAGAUGGUGAUGCCAUCCACUGCAAAAACCAGGG
rnacentral:lncRNA from 1 species